AACGGGUGAGUAACGCGUGAGGAACCUGCCUCAAAGAGGGGGACAACAGUUGGAAACGACUGCUAAUACCGCAUAAGCCCACGGCUCGGCAUCGAGCAGAGGGAAAAAGAGCAAUCCGCUUUGAGAUGGCCUCGCGUCCGAUUAGCUAGUUGGUGAGGUAACGGCCCACCAAGGCGACGAUCGGUAGCCGGACUGGGAGGUUGAACGGCCACAUUGGGACUGAGACACGGCCCAG
rnacentral:rRNA from 1 species